AGGAUGAACGCUAGCGGCAGGCUUAAUACAUGCAAGUCGAACGGUAAGUGUAGUAGCAAUAUUAUACGAGAGUGACGUACGGGUGCGUAACACGUAUGCAACCUACCUUGUACAGGAGUAUAGCUCGGGGAAACUCGAAUUAACACUCCAUAACAUAGUGAUGUGGCAUCACAUUAUUAUUAAAACUCAGGUGGUACAAGAUGGGCAUGCGUCUGAUUAGUUAGUUGGCGGGGUAAUGGCCCACCAAGACGAUGAUCAGUAGGGGACCUGAGAGGGUGAUCCCCCACACUGGCACUGAGAUACGGGCCAGACUCCUACGGGAGGCAGCAGUAGGGAAUAUUGGUCAAUGGAUGCAAGUCUGAACCAGCCAUGCCGCGUGCAGGAAGAAGGCGUUAUGCGUUGUAAACUGCUUUUGCCAGGGGAUAAAAAAUCUGUGCGCAGAUAAUUGAAGGUACCUGGUGAAUAAGCCACGGCUAACUACGUGCCAGCAGCCGCGGUAAUACGUAGGUGGCAAGCGUUGUCCGGAUUUAUUGGGUUUAAAGGGUGCGUAGGCGGCCCUGUAAGUCAGUGGUGAAAUAUCUCAGCUUAACUGAGAGGGUGCCAUUGAUACUGCAGGGCUUGAGUACAGAUGAGGUAGGCGGAAUUGACGGUGUAGCGGUGAAAUGCAUAGAUAUCGUCAAGAACACCGAUAGCGAAGGCAGCUUACCAAGCUGUAACUGACGCUGAGGCACGAAAGUGUGGGGAUCAAACAGGAUUAGAUACCCUGGUAGUCCACACUGUAAACGUUGAUGACUCGAUGUUGGCGAUACACAGCCAGCGUCCAAGAGCAAUCGUUAAGUCAUCC
rnacentral:rRNA from 1 species